UAAACGAAAAGGCAAAUCUAUUGAAAAGUAGAGACGCAAAGCUUCAGAUCUAAGGUCAAUUUUGACUAUGAUGGCUGGGUUACCGAA
rnacentral:ncRNA from 1 species